CUUUGUGUGUGUGUGUGUGUCGCGAACAUUGGCAGUUUUUUUUUUGUUUUCCAGUAGAACUUUUCCUCAAGAAUGUGCAAAACUUAAGCCGGUGGCAUAAUCCUUGCUUGCGGCAGCAAUGUGAUCCGCUGUUGCGUUGUUGGUUUUGGCGCUGUGAGGAACUGCCUCCUCAGUUUGGACCUCAAUCACCUCGAGCGCAGCGCGUGGUCGUGUUGUUACCUUUAUCGCUGAAACGUGUGUUUGUCUGCCUUCUGGAGCGAGUCCGUGCGACUGGAUUCGUCUGUAUACUGACUCUAUUUUGACUUCAUCAGACUUUGUCGAUCCCCUGCCGGAUGACGGCCUCACCACUCAGUCAGCAGACCUCACGGCCCAGUUGCUGCUGCCGCUGCUACCAUCCAUCUCGCCGAUGCACAUUGCCACCCUGUUGGAAGAUAAGUGAUGAGACUGCUCCGCGUGUCGCGGCUCGUUGUGCCGAAGCUUCACGUGACAGCGCGGCCGGGACUCGGACAAGACAGAUGACAUCGUCGCGGGUAUCGGGAUCAGGAGGAGAUGGUGCCGUCGGGCUUGAUGCGUGAGCCGCCGGACGGCAGGACCACGGAGCCGUGACCCGUGACUGACGGUUGCCGCGUGGACCCGGUCUAUCGUCCCGCGCCUCUCCAGCAAGAUGGAUGGAGCCUACGCUGCGCGGGACUGUUGAAGAAGGGGAGGAGGGAUCAUCAGCUUGUAAAAUAUGGAUAAGGAAGAAC